ACCUGAACAAUUCAUCUAACUCUCACUUUUCAAAACACUGUCUUUGUCUUUUUUCAUCAGGGUGUUACCUUCGUCUUUCUUAAAGACGUUCUUGUGACUUCUCUGCAUUGAUUUUUAGCUUAUAAUAGAACACACUUUCCCUUGUCCACCACAUCAGAUAAUGCCUCUGCUGAUUACACCUUUAAAUUAUUCUAUAACAAUGUAUAUGAUAUUAUUUCAUCCUAGGGUUCUCAGUUCUUCCAUGUCUGCUACACUUCAUAAAAUCCUUCUCCAUCCUACCUGUCCCUAAACUACUGGUCAAAUGGGUAGAUGCAGAGGCAUUUACCUUGGUGCUGUAGUUCAAAAGCUCAGCAUGCAUGUCUUAAAUAGGCUGCAAACUAUGGGAACGUUCAGUUUCUCUUUUGACCCUUGUAAAUUUCAUUCCUUUUCUCUAAUUUUGGAAUAAAAUUGAUCUAAAUAUAUGUAAAAAUCCCGAACUGGACUGUUUUUGUCUUGUUUUGGGCAGAAGGAUAAAGUUUUGCUCAUCAUAGGGAAAAGUAAAGGCAGUUCUUCUGAUGAUUUGAACUGUUUACCAUUAAAAAUUUAAGGAAAAUCCUUUCAGGAAACAGGUGUUGCUGCCUUAUAUAGUAAAGGGGAAUUUGUUUGCUCAUCUGCCUUUGCAAGGCAAAUUUAAGUGGUGUUACUUGUCUUUUAGCAGCACGACUGUCAUUUCUUCAUUCCUAUGUUGUACAAAAAUUUUGAUUUUUUUUCCCAUGCUUGGUGCAAUUUCUUUUUUCCCUCAAAUCAACUAUCAUGAAUCAUAAAAUACUUUGAGAAAAAUUUUUUGCUAAUCAGCCGAUGGAGUUGAGCAAAUAUAUACCCUCUGACUUCUUCCCUUCAGGUCAGGAUUGUAUUUGGAUUAUAGGAACAGCUCCUCAUUCCUGCUCUAAGGAUAUCUCUGCUCACACUGCAGAGGUGAGCCUGUGCUUCAGUUGACUCUCCCUGUAGAGUUCAGGAAAAAUUUGAGUCAGAGGCAGAAACUGGUUUCUAACUAGAAAGAAAUAAAAUGAAUUAUGUUUUCUAUUUCUCUUCCAAGGAGGACAAUAUUUUCUUGUGACAUCCCUCUGGAACUGUGUGAAUUGAGAUGGGACAGGACAUUGCUCUGUAUUAAAUCAAAUAACUGUUUGCCUGAGCAAAUCAAUCUAUGAAGCAUCUCUAAAGCAGUUUACUAGGCCCUGAUCCUAUACUGUUGAUUGAUUUCAGUGAAAGAUGUGAAGCUUAAGGACAUGCUUCUAUGUGGAGUUACUUUAGGGAAGAAAUAAAUCUGUUGGAUUGUUGGAUAACUCCAAGUGCAGACUUACAGGAUAAAGCUUUUGAUGGUUUGGAUCCAAACAGCUAAAUAGAGGUGUUGGUAGCAGGUUUCCUGGUGGAUGUAAUAAAAUCUAUUUACCCAGUCACAACCUUUUGUUUUGAAUUUGGAGAGAGAACAGGUCCAAAAAAAAGGUAACAGCCUGUAAAAUGGGCAUAGUUUAUCUUUCCACAGAGGCAUUGAUAGGUGAACACCCAGCAUUUCAAAAAUAUUUUGCUUUUAGAUUUAAAAGUGGUUUUCACCCCCAUUUUAUAGUUGAAGAAACUGAGGUAUGCUGAAUUUUAGUAACUGGUUGAUAUCAGAAACCUAGAAAAGGGCAGAUUCAAAAAUAACAGCUGGGUCUGGAGAGCAGUAACCUAGUCACUGAAUAAUGUUGUCUUGGAGCUAAAAGCCUGGAGGAAAAAGCUGAAAUGUCUUUCUUCUCAACUCUGUCUCUACCCAUGUCUGCAUAUCAGAGUCACUGAGCUGGAAAAAUAUGAAUGUUGCAGUACAGCAUGAAUGAACUAAGCUGUCUCCUGAGCAGUGAGUGCAUUUCCCAGCUGGGUAGGACAUUGCAAAGCUUUUAGGAGUUCCCAGCACCAUUUCACUGAAGCAAGAUCCUCUUGAGGACGCCCCGGUUGAAUGUUGCUUUUAUUUUUCUUUUUCUGUGUCUGAGGGACAUAACAAUCUCCUGUUUCUAGCACAGCCUUUGCCAGAGCCUGUGUCAGGAUGCAUAAUCAGUGGUCUCUGGUGCAACAGGAGGUGUUUUCAGAGCUUCAAGAGCUCUGACUGCAAGUGAGAAGGGUAUUCAACAACUUACGUGGUUAUGUCUUUAUUAGCUGAACAGGAACAUUUGCUAAAGCCAAUAGGAAAGAAAAAAUUGCAACAAAGGGCAGAUAAAAUCAAUGCCAGUGUGAUGAGACUGCUGCUGUUUCCACAUCAUACUGGUCCUUGCUUUGCUACUUCAAAAAUAAAAAAAAACCACCAAAACUGAAACAGAGCCACCCAGCACACUAAACCCACACUCCCUGAUCCCUCUGCAGUGCUGACAUUUCGAACUAACUCAGCUUUGCACCAAGUAAUCAGUUUGUCUCCUGCCCCUAGGCUCCAGAGGAGGAUACUGUGAACCUUGCUCUGCUUUGAGAUGGCUCCCAGCUUCUACUCCAGCUGCAUUUUGACAUGAAAUUGAGAUGGUCAGAUUGCCUUCUGGUGCCUGUCUGGGCCAGUAACCACUGCUGGUGGCUGGUUUCUUUGGCAAUAUUCAGAGGUGAUGUGCAAAGGGAAAGGAGUUAACUGUUUGACAAGGGACAGCUUUAUUUACAGACUGCUGCCAGGCUAAAAUCAGUUGAACUGCAUGAAAUGAUGUGCACUGGUUUGUAAAAAGAGUUGGAAAGCCGUGACACUGAUUGGCAGUGAAAACCCUAUAAAGCAGCACACAUCAAUGGAGUAAUUGACUGCUUCCCUCACGUAAAUUGUUUUCCUCCUUGCCAUACUCUUUGUGCACUUGAGCAAGCUGUGCUUCAUACUGAUGGAACAUAGCAAACUUAAAUAAUUUUCUAAAAGCUGUGUAAGACACAGCUUGGGUGAGAGGGUCUUUUAAGAUAUUAUUUGUAAUACUGAUAAUAAUUUAGUGAAAAAGACACUGUCUCUUAAACUGUACAAGGAGAAAGACUUCCCUUACAGGAAUUCAAUCAAGCAAGAGGGCAGGACAAUGCUGACUUUGCAGAUCUAAUGCACCCAUCUCCUUGUAUCCAUCUGCUUGCUCCAGUCCCAGAGCUGCUGGGUAGCUUGCUCAGCAUCAGUUCCUUGAGUGUUGUUCAGUUGUUUCCAGGGAUCUGGCAUUUGAAUUUUGGAGAGGUCAAAGCUUUUUUGUUGAGCUCCUGCUUGCCUUGGUUGUUAAUAAUGAUUUUUCCAGCAAGUGUUGGCUUUGUUCCCCUUAUAGGGAGGAUCAGGUUUUCUUAAAAACCCAGCAGGAGUCUGUGCAACUUUUAUUUCUGAAGCAUGCAUACAUGCAGGGCACCUGCUGUGCAGCUGGGGCACUGCCCUCCAGCCAGGCAGAAUUAACCUGCACUGCAAGAUUAAAGGAUAACCUUGAGCUUGGCAAAGACCUCAGAAAAGCAGAAUUCUUCUCUCAGAACAACACCCUGCAAUAAGCAGAGAUAAGUCUGAGCCACAGCACCAAGUCUGGAGCCAAGCUGUUAUGAAGUUUGGCCUGCUCUGAGGGCUUGGCUGGUGAUGUUGAGACCUUGGAGCUUUAUGCUAAGUAAGAAUAAAGCAGUCUAUUGAAUAGCUGCUCACUCAUUCACUUCUGUCUGGACAUGUUCCAGAUGAGGUCUGAUGCUGUUGGAGGGAGCAAGAAAAUGGGCAAAGAGGGUUAACCAUGAACUCUACAUUGAUGACAUCAAGAUCCACAGCAGCUUUAAGGAUGAACCAACAAUCAAGAAGAAGAAAUGUGAUUAUUGAGGAAUAUGGCAAAACCUGGGGAAGUAAACUGCUCAGUGCUGAACAAAUGGAUGGAGAGUACGCAAAGUUACCUAGCAGCAUUUCCUGGAGACACAAAGUAUGGUCAACUGCAAAUCAACCAUAACUUCAAGAUAUUUGCAUACAGGAUGCCCAUUUUUGCAUGUCCAGUCUGUCUUCUGAGAACUAUGAAUGGAUGUUUUUGUUUUGUUUGUAAAGUUAAAGUACAAUUCCGGGUCACUUUUCUUGGAUUUCUCUUAAAGUCCGACCAAUACUUUCACUUGUGACAUAAGAGAUUAUCAGAAUAUUUUGCUUUCUAUAGAUAGACAUCCUCACUCACCAAGCAGGAACUCAAACUAAAUAGAAGGCAAAUGCAGAAAAAAAAAAUCAAAGUCUCUUUUAAGUUUUUGAUGAUCCUGAAUCAAGAAGUUAUGAUGUCUGUGAAGUAUUGCAUUCAAUUGUGUGUUUUGUGGUCACUGUACAGAGUUCUCCUCAAAGAGUUUCCAGAUAGCUUUUUCAUAUAGUUUUCUUAAUAUUUUCAAUUUUAUCCCCUUUCUUUCUCCAGUCUUUCAGAACUGAAGAGAAACAAAUCCCAAUUAUCUUCUUUCAUUAUCAGGGAUAUAACUUUUUCAUUGUGUUUCUUCCUAUACCUAAACUUGUUUAUGUUAUUUUUCUGUUAUGUUUGUAUUUCUCUCCUUUGCACUGCCUUGGUUCCCCAGAUCGUUAGCUCACUACUGAGUGCUCAAGCUAUUCCCCAAUUUCCCAAAUUGCACCAGGCAAACAACCUCUUUCUCCUCCUACAAAAUGCAGCUCCACAAACCCUCAUGAGUUUUUUCUCUUUGCUGAUGUUCUUUUCAUGCUCUACAGUAGAUGCCUUCUGUACCAGAGAAGAAUGGCAGUGCCCUUCAGCUGCAGAUAUGGCUAUUGGAGCCUUUCACAUAUAUCAACUAUGUAUCCUUACAAAUGUAUGACAUUUGUGACUUCUGUUGGGAUUAUUUACUAUACUAGCUUAAUCAAACAAUUUAUCAAAUUAUUUCCACCAACUGUUAGCACUUUUGUUAUCUGCUGUAAAAGCAACCACAGCUGACUUUGCGGGUGGAAGUGGGGGCGUUCUAUGAAUAAAAUAUCUUUCUUCAUGA